ensembl:lncRNA
GGAGGUCUCAGCUGGCUCACCAGGCUCUCACUUGUCAGCCGGUUUGUCAGGUUUCUGCGCCUCCACUCCGAAUCCCCGAGAUCAUCCCUGUGGUUGGAGUCCUGCGGCUGGAGCCGAACGUGCCGGGGAGGGUGUACUGUCAUGGAUGCUCUGUCUCCGGCGCUCUAGGUCGUCAUGCUCCUGCGCCUUGGCCGGAUCGACAGGUUCCUGCGCCUUAGCAGAGGUGACCAGUCCGCUCCUGAUCCCCGGGAUCAUCAUCUUGGUCAGGGAGGGGGUACUGUCUCCCUGAACUUGCUUCCCGACUCUCCGCGUACAUUGUUACACGCCGGUGGUAGCUGGUACAAUGCAGGAAAGUGAGGUUCCGGAGGUCCCUCCGCCCCCUCUGGACAUCGAGGGGUCCCCGGCGUACAUGAUAUGGUGCAUUCUGGACUCCAGACGCCGGGUGAGGGGCCUGCAGUACCUCCUGGACUGGGAGGGUUACGAGCCGGAGGAGAGGUGCUGGGUCCCGGUGGGGGAUAUAUUGGAUCCCACUAUACUAAGGGAGUUCCAUCGCCUCCAUCCGAAUCACCCUGCGCCUUGCCCCCCGGGUCGUCCCCGAGGCCGGUAUCGGCACGCUGCGGGAGCCGCGCGUCGGGGGGGGUACUGUCACGAAUACCACCAAAGGUUGCUCCCCUUCCUGCUCGGGUGGCGCUCGGCGGUCGUCGUCGCCGGUCUAUUAGCUGCCACCGAUCCCUUUUUCCUUUUCAUUUGUUUUUGUCUAAUUGUUUUCAACUGUUCCUUGUUGGCGUUUUGGGAUGGGUGUUAUCUAAGUUUGUUUUGCCAGCUGGUGUUUGUGCGGGCUUGUUGGGUUUGUCACGUUUGUGGUGUAUCGUCGGUUUUGGGUUUUCGCUGUCCGGGUUUGUGUAACUAGGUAUUGGGUUUGGUUUGCACCUGUGUUUUAGGGCAUUCACACAUGUUUGGACCUGUUACUUUGUUAAGGACAUUAAAGUAUUUUUUCCCAUUAA